GAUGAACGCUGGCGGCGUGCCUAAUACAUGCAAGUCGAGCGAACGGAUGAGAAGCUUGCUUCUCUGAUGUUAGCGGCGGACGGGUGAGUAACACGUGGAUAACCUACCUAUAAGACUGGGAUAACUUCGGGAAACCGGAGCUAAUACCGGAUAAUAUUUUGAACCGCAUGGUUCAAAAGUGAAAGACGGUCUUGCUGUCACUUAUAGAUGGAUCCGCGCUGCAUUAGCUAGUUGGUAAGGUAACGGCUUACCAAGGCAACGAUGCAUAGCCGACCUGAGAGGGUGAUCGGCCACACUGGAACUGAGACACGGUCCAGACUCCUACGGGAGGCAGCAGUAGGGAAUCUUCCGCAAUGGGCGAAAGCCUGACUGAGCAACGCCGCGUGAGUGAUGAAGGUCUUCGGAUCGUAAAACUCUGUUAUUAGGGAAGAACAUAUGUGUAAGUAACUGUGCACAUCUUGACGGUACCUAAUCAGAAAGCCACGGCUAACUACGUG
rnacentral:rRNA from 1 species